AUGCACGCUGGCGGCGUGCCUCAUACAUGCAAGUCGCGCGAACGGACGAGAAGCUUGCUUCUCUGAUGUUAGCGGCGGACGGGUGAGUAACACGUGGAUAACCUACCUAUAAGACUGGGAUAACUUCGGGAAACCGGAGCUAAUACCGGAUAAUAUUUUGAACCGCAUGGUUCAAAAGUGAAAGACGGUCUUGCUGUCACUUAUAGAUGGAUCCGCGCUGCAUUAGCUAGUUGGUAAGGUAACGGCUUACCAAGGCAACGAUGCAUAGCCGACCUGAGAGGGUGAUCGGCCACACUGGAACUGAGACACGGUCCAGACUCCUACGGGAGGCAGCAGUAGGGAAUCUUCCGCAAUGGGCGAAAGCCUGACGGAGCAACGCCGCGUGAGUGAUGAAGGUCUUCGGAUCGUAAAACUCUGUUAUUAGGGAAGAACAUAUGUGUAAGUAACUAUGCACAUCUUGACGGUACCUAAUCAGAAAGCCACGGCUAACUACGUG
rnacentral:rRNA from 1 species